rnacentral:rRNA from 1 species
CCGUUAACGAACGAGACCUUAACCUGCUAAAUAGCCAGGCUAGCUUUGGCUGGUCGCAGGCUUCUUAGAGGGACUAUCGGCUCAAGCCGAUGGAAGUUUGAGGCAAUAACAGGUCUGUGAUGCCCUUAGAUGUUCUGGGCCGCACGCGCGCUACACUGACAGAGCCAACGAGUUUUUUUCCUUCGCCGAAAGGUGCUGGGCAAUCUUGUUAAACUCUGUCGUGCUGGGGAUAGAGCCUUGCAAUUAUUGCUCUUCAACGAGGAAUGCCUAGUAGGCGCAAGUCAUCAGCUUGCGCCGAUUACGUCCCUGCCCUUUGUACACACCGCCCGUCGCUAAUACCGAUUGAAUGGAUU